rnacentral:tRNA from 1 species
GGAUGGGUGGCCGAGCGGUUGAAGGCACCGGUCUUGAAAACCGGCAGACGUGAAAGCGUCUCGUGGGUUCGAAUCCCACCCCACCCGCCA